CCGUGACAGACCCCUGGGGCAGCUCCAAAGCCACUUAGCACAGGCAUGGAGCGGGGCCAGGAGGAGAUGCUGGCACCAAAAGAGCAGCUCUAGCAAGUCUAGCGCACCAUUCUGCUAGGGGACAGGUUUGGAUGGGCUCAGACCCCAGCAGCACACAGCUCCCACUUGUGCAGCGCUCUGACCGCCAGCCCUGGGGACAGCACGAGCCUCGUGCUCCCUGCAUAGAAGAGCACACGCUGCGUGUGAGCCUCAGAAACCAUCUGUUAGUGACACAAAAACAUGCUGGCAGCGCUCAGCACCGCUUGGCAGGGAAACCUGUAUCAACUGUCUGCAGGCCAAGGUCUAAAGGGCAGUCCACCUCUGGAGACUUCUGCAGCUUUGAGGAGCUCUCAUCUUGCAGCUGGUGGGUGCCCUCACAGCACACAGCCCCGGGGGUGCUGCUCCAUGCCUUGAGUGUGCCCCAGGAGGACCAGGGAGGAGAGCAAAUGGAGCACCCCGGGAGUGCAGCCUUUUUAGACCAGCCCUGGCGGGAGCCACGUGGCACUGCAUUUAGAACUUCUGCUUUGAAGGCUGGAUCCGAGUCAUGCAGCUUUGUCCCAGGCUGAGAGUUCCAUGCAGUAACUCACGAACCUGCUGCCGUUACUCACCUCAAUGAAGACUUUGUUACAUGGAUGGACUCACUGAACUGCUGCUCUGCAGUGUAAGUGAGGGCUGCGGGGCCAUCCAAAAGCAGCCCUCCCCACCCCAAUGUCACCUCUCCCUCUGCAAAGGAAUUGGAAAGCCACCUGCACAGGAGAAGAGAAGCUAAAGCCAUUCCCCACAGAUUCUGCAAUCCGAGCACUGCUGCGGAUAAUAGACCGAUGCACCAGAGGGGAUUGAAUCAACCAAAAAUAAAUCCAUAGAACAUCUCUUUUUUUCAAUAGCUUUUGCUGUCUUCGAGGCCAAGCAGCAUCCUUUAAUGGAAGCAGUGAGGCUGGGCCGGUAAAGCUUCCCGAGUUUAAAGUUAUUUGAUAGCUAGUUAUUUUUCUUCAAAGGAGACGAAGUAAACCUCUGCCUCCAGCCCUCACCACAGCAGCAGAAAUGCUUUGUCAGUGUAUUUGUGACACGUUAAUUAUAGCAAUGGAAAAUCUCAG
ensembl:lncRNA